UACGUAGGGGGCGAGCGUUGUCCGGAGUUACUGGGCGUAAAGCGCACGCAGGCGGUCUGCUAAGUUUGGAGUGACAGUUGGUGGCUUAACUGCAAAAGUGCUUCGAAAACUGACAGACUUGAGGGCUUCAGAGGGACACGGAAUUCCGGGUGGAGUGGUGAAAUGCGUAGAGAUCCGGAGGAACACCAAAGGCGAAGGCAGUGUCCUGGGGAGUACCUGACGCUCAGGUGCGAAAGCCAGGGGAGCGAACGGG
rnacentral:rRNA from 1 species